rnacentral:rRNA from 1 species
UACGUAGGUGGCAAGCGUUGUCCGGAUUCAUUGGGCGUAAAGCGCGCGCAGGCGGUCUUCUACGUCUGGGGUGAAAACCCGGGGCUCAACCUCGGGACUGCCUUGGAUACGGGAAGACUUGAGGAUCGGAGAGGCAAGGGGAAUUCCACGUGUAGCGGUGAAAUGCGUAGAGAUGUGGAGGAACACCUGUGGCGAAGGCGCCUUGCUGGCCGAUUUCUGACGCUGAGGCGCGAAAGCGUGGGGAGCAAACAGG